rnacentral:rRNA from 1 species
CAGUAGCCGCGGUAAUACGUAGGGUGCAAGCGUUAAUCGGAAUUACUGGGCGUAAAGCGUGCGCAGGCGGUUAUAUAAGUCAGAUAUGAAAUCCCCGGGCUCAACCUGGGAACUGCAUUUGAGACUGUAUGGCUAGAGUGUGUCAGAGGGGGGUAGAAUUCCACGUGUAGCAGUGAAAUGCGUAGAUAUGUGGAGGAAUACCGAUGGCGAAGGCAGCCCCCUGGGAUAACACUGACGCUCAUGCACGAAAGCGUGGGGAGCAAACAGGAUUAGAUACCCGGGUAGUCCCUGUCUCUUAUAC